GAGGAAUGUAUAGCAAUAGCUAGUUGUAUCAUUAGAAAUAUGAUGCAAGAUCGACUAUGUUGAAUAAAAUUCUAGGUAGAAUUAUGAUAAUGACAUUGUCUGCCUAUGUGUCUUGACCAAAUUACGUGCCAGCAGUCGCGGUAAUACGUAGAAGACUAGUGUUAUUCAUGUUUAAUCGGUUUAAAGGGUACCUAGACGGUAAAUCAAGCCUACAUAAGAAGUGAAAGGGACUAGUUUACUAGAGUUACUUAUGAGGGGGUAUUAAAGUACUGCUGGUGUAGAGAUGAAAUUCUGUCAUACCUCUUUUCAAUAGAAAAAUGACGGCACAGGUAUAGGCGAAAGCAUCCCCUUAUGUGAUAACUGACGUUGAGGGACGAAGGCUUUGUGUAGCGAACAGGAUUAGAUACCCCAGUAGUCAAAGCAGAAAAUGAUGAAUGUCAUAGAUUAGAUAAAUAAGUUUAUUCUAUAAAUGAAAGUGUAAGCAUUCCACCUCAAGAGUAAUUUGGCAACAUUGGAACUGAAAUCAUUAGACCGUUUCUGAAACCAG
rnacentral:rRNA from 1 species